AAAAGCUUUCUUUAAUUGAAUAAUUGAAUUUAAUUUUUUAGUGCAAAAGCAAAAAUAAAAAUUAGGGACAAGAAGACCCUAUGAAUUUUUUAUUAAAUUUUAUAAAACUUUAUAUAAAAUUUAAUUUAAUUGGGGUGAUGGAAAAAGAAUAAAUAUCUUUUUUUUAAAAAAAAUUGGUUCCGUUUUUAGCGAUUAAAUGAAAAAAAUACUCUAGGGAUAACAGCGUAAUAAUUUUGGAUAGUUCAUAUAGAUAAAAUAGUUUGCGACCUCGAUGU
rnacentral:rRNA from 1 species